AACGAACGCUGGCGGCAGGCUUAACACAUGCAAGUCGAACGCACCGCAAGGUGAGUGGCAGACGGGUGAGUAACACGUGGGGAUCUGCCCAAUGGUACGGAAUAGCUCCGGGAAACUGGAAUUAAUACCGUAUGAGCCCGCAAGGGGAAAGAUUUAUCGCCAUUGGAUGAAGCCGCGUCGGAUUAGCUAGUUGGUGUGGUAAAGGCGCACCAAGGCGACGAUCCGUAGCUGGUCUGAGAGGAUGAUCAGCCACACUGGGACUGAGACACGGCCCAGACUCCUACGGGAGGCAGCAGUGGGGAAUAUUGGACAAUGGGCGCAAGCCUGAUCCAGCCAUGCCGCGUGAGUGAUGAAGGCCUUAGGGUUGUAAAGCUCUUUCGCCGACGAAGAUAAUGACGGUAGUCGGAGAAGAAGCCCCGGCUAACUUCGUGCCAGCCGCCGCGGUAAAAC
rnacentral:rRNA from 1 species